AGGGUUUGAUCUGGCUCAGGAUGAACGCUGGCGGCGUGCCUAAUACAUGCAAGUCGAACGCGAGCCUUUGGGCUCGAGUGGCGAACGGGUGAGUAAUACGUAAGCAACCUGGCCUUUACAGGGGGAUAACUGAUGGAAACGUCAGCUAAGACCGCAUAGGUACAGAGAUCGCAUGAUAACUGUAUUAAAAGUGCUACGGGACUGGUAGAGGAUGGGCUUACGGCGCAUUAGCUUGUUGGAGGGGUAACGGCCCACCAAGGCGACGAUGCGUAGCCGACCUGAGAGGGUGACCGGCCACACUGGGACUGAGACACGGCCCAG
rnacentral:rRNA from 1 species